rnacentral:rRNA from 1 species
CAAUAGCGUAUAUUAAAGUUGUUGCAGUUAAAAAGCUCGUAGUUGGAUUUCUGCUGAGGACGAUCGGUCCGCCCACUGGGUGAGUAUCUGGCUCGGCCUUGGCAUCUUCUUGGAGAACGUUGCUGCACUUGACUGUGUGGCGCGGUAUCCAGGACUUUUACUUUGAGGAAAUUAGAGUGUUUCAAGCAGGCGCACGCCUUGAAUACAUUAGCAUGGAAUAAUGAGAUAGGACCUUGGUUCUAUUUUGUUGGUUUCUAGAGCUGAGGUAAUGAUUAAUAGGGAUAGUUGGGGGCAUUCGUAUUUAACUGUCGGAGGUGAAAUUCUUGGAUUUGUUAAAGACGGACUACUGCGAAAGCAUUUGCCAAGGAUGUUUUCAUUGA